rnacentral:lncRNA from 1 species
UGGAAUAGCUCUCUGUCUUAGCAAUCUAAGAGAAGCUUGGAUGUUUUCGAGGUUGCUGAUGGGUUAACUGUUGUUGGAUGCCUUAGGCAUUAAUGCUACAGACGGAAGUCAUCUACUGUAGAAGCCCGGAUGAAAACUUUCUGUUGGAGAAAUUUGGCUGGAGUUUGAUUGCUAGAGAAGUCCGUCUGGAAUUGGUCUGAUGUAGAAGCUUGUCUGAAUACUAUCCACUGGAGAGGUCCGAUUGCAUGAGGAAUCCGACAGAAGGUCGACCGGUAGCGGAAUUCAAAAAGCAUUGUGGAAGUUCGUUUGCUGGAGGAGUUUGCAAGACACUAUGGAAGGUCGACCGCUGGAGGGGUCCGGAGGGAAUUUAUCCGUUAGAGGGGUCUGGUUGGCACUGUUGAAGUCCGAUUGGUGCUGUUGAAGGUUGAUGGCUGGAGAGGUAUGGAAGACACUGGAGACUAUCGGUCACUGUAGAAAUUCAGC